CUGGGAUUUUGUCUUUUAAGAGCAGCCUGGUCCUGUCUGCUGCAGAGCCUUUUGUCUCGCUAACCUGGAUCCUGACGGGCGCGACAAAAGGUUCUGCGGCUGCGCUGGGGAGACCUCGGCCCUGAGCACUGGCACAGUGCCUGAGGAGGCCUUUACCAGGGCUCUGGGGUUUGGGGGGGUUCCUUCUGACGUGUUUUCUAAGUUCCUUCUGUCCUGAACAAUGAAUUGGUCGGGACAAGCUCAGAAGACAGCUAGGCUCUACAUCCAUUCAAGGCAGGAAAAUAAACUUGCUGCACAGGGUGAGGACAGACCACUGGGAAAGAGAGCCUCUCUCUGGCUGGUGUCAGGUCGAGGCCUAUCAGAAACCUGCUCAAGUUCUCGCGAGAAGACUUGAAGCGAGCGCUCUGAUUGGCCCCAGGCGUGGGGCUUUGGGAACCGUUUUGCCACCGUUCCUGAAGUUUCUGUUGAACCGUCCCACCCACUUUUCCCGCGGCUUCGUCGCACCUUAAUCUCUUGCCUCAGACUCGCUCUGGGUCUGUGGCUUCUGGGAGCCCGCUGAGGGGUCUGGGCGGCGCUCUCACCUGUCCAGCACAGGUUCGUCCUGCCCAGUGCUCACAGCCCCAAACCUGAGCCCGUUCAGCAGGCUCCUCCGCUUCCACCCGAUGGACGGAGCUCUUCGCUGCUUCCGGUUCUCCCGGCACCGUUAGUAGACAUCAGAAGAGAGAAGACUACAAGUGUAGGUUGGGCCGCUUGUAAAGGCCAGGCAGCCAAGGCAAAAUGACAUCCUCCCGGGCAAGGUCGUCACUCUGAGGAGAGUCAUUGUCCCCACCUCCGUCGCACGUUGGAAGCAGAGGCAGCCCAGAGUCCGAGCCGGGGGUUUCUGAGUCGCCUCAAGCUCUGCCCCACGAGGACAGGAAACCUUUGCCAGGACCUCACCUUACAGAAUCUCACCUUUCCUGCUUUGGUGGAGAAACUACCACAAAGCAAGGAACCAAGAGAGGCUUCCAACCACAGCCAGUAGGACAUUGGAACCAUCAUCCCAGCAGCCUUGAGGAACAGACUCCUCCAAAAGUGCAGACAUAACAUGGAUGCAUGUUCUUCUCCACUAGACCCUUCAGAUGAAGCCCCUUGGCUGCACUUCCUGAAGGGCUCUAAAGCAGGAAAAGUAGCUGGAUCUUGCCUGGAUUCCUAACUCGUCAAAACUUUGAGAUAAUAAAUGUAUGUAUUUUUAAGCCACUAAAUUUUAAAGUACUCAUUACAACACAUAAGAUAACUAAUACAUCCCUAAAUCCCUGUAACUUUGGUAUAAGAUAUAGUAGACCAGGAACCAAGCUCACCUUCCUCAAAUACGGUAGCAGAGUGUCUGACAACAUCCCUGAACACAUUGCCCUCAUGUUUGAAGACUGUUCCUUAUACUUCAAAAAUAAAAUGUGUCGCUGAGUCACGCGAAAGACGCCGAAUCAGCCCGCUGCAGACAGGCAGGCCUGUGCACACCCUACCGAGGUCCUGAGUCACGCAGAAGACGCCGAAUCACCCCACUGCAGACAGGCAGCCACCUGAUUCCACAUUACCAAGGCGCAGAGGACACCAGACCACCAGACCAAGGAAGAACCUGGUAUCUAACUCCAGAAGGAGAGGUGAACAACCCAGAACUCCGUAACGUUAAAGUUGAGAAGCCACUUUUAGACAUAGGCUACGUAACAUUUUGGCAUAGCCAGCCUGGAGGAAAGCUCAGGUACAAGAGACAAAGGUCCCAAGACAAGCAGAUGGGAGAUCUAUUGGAUCUCACCACCAACAGAUUGACAUUGACCCUAGGCCACACUCUCAAUGAGUGGGAAAGUUUUGAUGAUCCUGACAAUCUAAAACAGGAGCAGCUCGGGCUGGGGAUUUAGGACUAGGACUAGCAGGAACCACCCAACCAGUCUGUAAAGCUUGCCCACUCUGUGCCUACAAUAACUCUGGCAAGUCCAAACUGCCUCCUUUAUUAGAACCUGUACAGAGAAGAGGGACAUACCCUGGAGAGGCCUGGCAAUUAGACUUUACCCAUAUACCACCAUGUGGAGGAUGUAAACAGAUGUUAGUCCUAAUUGACACAUUUAUAGGCUGGAUCGAAUCCUAAC
ensembl:lncRNA